AGGGCACCACCAGGAGUGGAGCCUGCGGCUUAAUUUGACUCAACACGGGGAAACUCACCCGGCCCGGACACCGUAAGGAUUGACAGAUUGAUAGCUUUUUCAUGAUUCGGUGGAUGGUGGUGCAUGGCCGUUCUUAGUUCGUGGAGCGAUUUGUCUGGUUUAUUCCGAUAACGAGCGAGACUCUAGCCUACUAAAUAGUUCGCACAUUGUCUCUGUGUGUGUGACUUCUUAGAGGGAUUUUCGGUGUUCAGCCGCACGAAAUUGAGCAAUAACAGGUCUGUGAUGCCCUUAGAUGUCCAGGGCUGCACGCGCGCUACACUGGCAAAAUCAGCGUGCUUGUCCUUCCCCGAAAGGGGUUGGUAAACCCUUGAAAAAUUUGCCCGUGAUUGGGAUUGGAAAUUUGCAAUUAUUUUCCCAUGAACGAGGAAAUUCCAAAGUAAGUGCGAGUCAUCAGCUCGCGUUGAUUACGUCCCUGCCCUUUGUAACCACCGCCCGUCGCUGCCCGGGACUAAGCCAUUU
rnacentral:rRNA from 1 species